rnacentral:rRNA from 1 species
CCUACGGGGGGCUGCAGUCGAGAAUCUUCGGCAAUGCGCGAAAGCGUGACCGAGCGACGCCGCGUGUGGGAUGAAGGCCUUCGGGUUGUAAACCACUGUCGUAGGGGAGGAAGGCUCCGUGAAGAGCGGGGUUUGACCUAUCCUAGGAGGAAGGCCGGGCUAAGUUCGUGCCAGCAGCCGCGGUAAGACGAACCGGCCGAACGUUAUUCGGAAUUAUUGGGCUUAAAGGGUGCGUAGGCGGUGCGGUCAGUCGGGUGUGAAAUCCCUCGGCUCAACCGAGGAAUUGCGCCCGAUACUACCGUGCUUGAGGGAGACAGAGGUGAGCGGAACUGAUGGUGGAGCGGUGAAAUGCGUUGAUAUCAUCAGGAACACCAGUGGCGAAAGCGGCUCGCUGGGUCUCUUCUGACGCUGAGGCACGAAAGCUAGGGUAGCGAACGGGA